AUUUUGUAAAAAAAAACGUUGAGACUACUACUUAAUGUAAGUACCUAGUACCUACAGGUAAAAAUGUAACAAUUAUACGUAAGGCAAAUGAACCCCGCAAAAAAAUCCCCAAAGCAUUUAUACUGUCAAAAUUAUAUGUAAAUAAAAAAAAAUCGAAUAUAGUUUAAUCAUCAAUGGUUGAGUGUAUAAUAUGCACACAGCUGUCAAAAAUAAUAAUAAAUAGUUAAAAAAAAAAAUUAAUGUAUGUAGUUAUAACCUAACCUAACAUAUUUAGUUUUUCCUUGUGUGGAUUUAAUAUUUCCAUAGUUGCACAGUAGCACAAUUCGAAAUUACUCAACAGGAACUGAAGAAGUACUAGCCGUAAUACCUAUGCAAUAUCUAAUAACGUGUAGAUACC